AAUCAGUGAUGAGGGCAUCUUCUAAGGAGGUCUUUAAAUCUUUCAUAAGCCUCAAAUAGUAUCUUGGACUUCCCCUGUUUGAAUGCCGAAAUCUCUUGUCUUAACUU